GACGAACGCUGGCGGCGUGCCUAAUACAUGCAAGUCGGACGCAGUCGCGAACGGGUGAGUAACGCAUCGGUAACUACCUAUUAGAGGGGGAUAACUACUGGAAACGAUACCUCAUACCGCAUACUAGUAGAUGGACCUGCGUUGUAUUAGCUAGUAGGUCGGGUAAUGGCCUACCUAGGCAACGAUACAUAGCCGACCUGAGAGGGUGAUCGGCCACACUGGGACUGAGACACGGCCCAGACUCCUACGGGAGGCAGCAGUGGGGAAUCUUCGGCAAUGGGGGGAACCCUGACCGAGCAACGCCGCGUGUGUGAUGAAGGUCUUCGGGUCGUAAAGCACUGUUAUUGGGGAAGCGGUACCUGAUCAGAAAGCCACGGCUAACUACGUGCCAGCAGCCGCGGUAAUAC
rnacentral:rRNA from 1 species